rnacentral:RNase_P_RNA from 1 species
AGAGUGGGUCGGGCGGUCGCCGGUUCGUCUUAGGCGGGCCGGAGGAAAGUCCGAGCAGGACAGGGCACGGUGAUGGUCAAUGGCCACCGGGGGCGACCCCAGGGAAAGUGCCACAGAAACUACACAGCCGAUGGCCCCGGCUUGCCGGGGCACAGGCAACGGUGAAAUGGUGCGGCAAGAGCGCACCGCGGCGCCGGUGACGGCGCCGGCAGGGCAAACCCCACCGCCUGCAAGACCAAAAAGCUGGUACUCGGCCCGGGUAUUAACAGCAGGUAGGUCGCUUGUCGAAAGACAGAGCCGACUGGCAACAGUCGGUCAAGAUAAAUGGCCGCCGCCUGCCUCAAAAGGCAGGAUACAGAACUCGGCUUACAGACCCACUCUUUUU